rnacentral:rRNA from 1 species
CGGGAAACGGGUGCUAAUACCGCAUUAGUUUUUCUUGAUCGCAGUGAGUCGGGAAAAGGAAAGACGGCCUUUUGUGCUGUCGCUUAUGGAUGGACCCGCGGCGUAUUAGUUAGUUGGUGAGGUAACGGCUCACCAAGACGAUGAUACGUAGCCGACCUGAGAGGGUGAUCGGCCACAUUGGACUGAGACACGGCCCAACUCCUACGGGAGGCAGCAGUAGGGAAUCUUCCGCAAUGGACGAAAGUCUGACGGAGCAACGCCGCGUGAGUGAAGAAGGUUUUUUCCGGAUCGUAAAAACUCUGUUGUCAGAGAAGAACAAGUUGGAGAGUAACUGCUCCAGCCUUGACGGUAUCUGACCAGAAAGCCACGGCUAACUACGUGCCAGCAGCUGC